UGUUGGUCAUAAGCGGGUUAUUUUCCGUACUGUAUACUUGAAACUCCUGCUCGACACGUCACAUCAACUUAUUAAAUAAGAUGGAAUUGAGCAGUUUUUCGUAAGAUGGUCAUGGUCACUGAACUAACUACAUGUCUACUACAAGCGUUUUACCUGUCUCGACAUGAGAUUAAUGUAGAAGUUUAAAGAUCCGUGCUAAUUCUGGUUUAUUGCAAGAUCAUGGAUAUAUGAGGGCAUGAAACUGUAGAAAUUCUAAUCUUGCAAUAUUUCGGAAAGAAGCUCUAAAUACUAAGUUUGGGUUAAUGCGACUUUAUUUUAAUAAAAUUGUUCCGUUAUUUUUUUCUCUAAUUUCUAGGACUUCAACCGGGAAGUAUUGUUGAAGUUAAGGGACCAGAGAAUUGUGGAAAAACUUAUUUGCUUACUUAUUUCAUUGUCCAGAUGCUGGUAAAAUUUCCUAAGAAAAAAGCUGUGUUUAUUAACACUUCUCAUCAGUUCUCGAUGAGGAACUUGAUUGGAAUGCUGCUCCGUGAAAAAUUUGGAACAGAAAUUAGCGACGCUGACAAAUGUCUUCCCCUUCCUCAAAUUAUGCAUCAGACUCCAGAAUUAGCAACAUACUUGGAUCGUCUGAUUAUAGUUAAUUGUUUUUCCGUUGAAGAAUUUAUGCUUACAGUUGCAUUUGAUGAUUGUUCAGUGUUGAAGAAAUUGGCUAAGAAAGACCGCAAAAUUUCACUUGUGGUAAUAGAUACAAUCGAUUCCUUCUCUUUCACCGAUUCCUUAGACCGAAACGAGCCAUUAGAUAUUUUAGCCAGUCUAAAGAAAAAUUGUGACAGGAUUCCAACUAUUUGUUCAACGAUUGGAAUACCUAGCAAUUUUCAACUUAUAAAAAACGCUCUCCCUGUUGAUCCGACUUUGGAAAUGUCGUAUUUUUCAAACAUCACACUUGACACGGUUAAUUUCACCCACACCAUGUCUAUUGUACCAGCCACAACGGCUGAAAUUGAUGCCAUACCAAAAUUAAAGGAAUUGAAAAAUCCCCAUUGUGCAUGUGCUUACCUUCGUUCCAAGCAAAGAGCGAACAUGGCUGGGUCCGCCGAUAUCCAUCGUGUAAAAUUCUCAAUCUUUUCCGACAUGUUGUGGGUGCUGGGUUGAUUCUUGAACUUGUGUAAUUUUCAGAAACAAUUACUUAAAAUAAGUAACUUAAAUUAAAAUAUAUUUAGUUGAUACUUUUUGUUAACGUUUUUCUUCACUUUUCUACCAAUUAAAUGGCUACAAAUUUAAAAUAAA